ACGGAGGGUGCGAGCGUUGUUCGGAAUCACUGGGCGUAAAGCGCGUGUAGGCGGCCUCCUAAGUCCGAUGUGAAAGCCCGGGGCUCACCCCCGGAAGUGCAUCGAAUACUGGGAGACUCGAGUACCGGAGAGGAAGGUGGAAUUCCUGGUGUAGCGGUGAAAUGCGUAGAUAUCAGGAGGAACACCGGUGGCGAAGGCGGCCUUCUGGACGGAUACUGACGCUGAGACGCGAAAGCGUGGGGAGCAAACA
rnacentral:rRNA from 1 species